CAGUAGCCACGGUAAUACGUAGGUCCCGAGCGUUGUCCGGAUUUAUUGGGCGUAAAGCGAGCGCAGGCGGUUAGAUAAGUCUGAAGUUAAAGGCUGUGGCUUAACCAUAGUACGCUUUGGAAACUGUUUAACUUGAGUGCGAGAGGGGAGAGUAGAAUUCCAUGUGUAGCGGCGAAAUGCGUAGAUAUAUGGAAGAACACCGGUGGCGAAAGCGGCUCUCUGGCUUGUAACUGACGCUGAGGCUCGAAAGCGUGGGGAGCAAACAGGAUUAGAUACCCCCGUAGUCCCUGUCUCUUAUACA
rnacentral:rRNA from 1 species